CGCGGAGCGAGAGCCCGCGGAGCUGCUCCGAGACCCGCGGGAGGGCACCUCCGGUCACCCGAGCCGCAAAUCCCCGCCGUCCGAAGGGGGUGUCGCCCCGGGCUGUCGGCCCAGCGUGGCUUAGGCCAGGUACAACCGGCAGCGCCCGCCAAGCCCUGGGCUAGGGACGCCUGCGGGAGUUCACGGGGAGGCGCCGGUGUCUGAGGUCUGAGAAGACAGCGGCCACCGGAAAAGGUGCUAAUGUUUGCAGACCCCGAUCCAUCGACACCCCAAGGAAAUGCUGUGCACAAAAUUCCAAGAGGGCCUUUUCGAAUAGACGCAUGAACGGUGUUUGUGUCUGGAUCGUCCAGCCUCCCGGGAUCGAUUGGGAAUCUAGCUUCUGCUUGCCUUUCCAGCGCGACGCACAGUAGGAGCCUAAUAAAUGUUUGCUGAAUGAAUGCUGAAUAUCGAACUCAGAGCCGGGCACGACAGCUGCGGGCACAGGGAGCAAUCGCCUGGAGCCAGAGGGGGCAACGCCAGCCCAAGGGCAAAUGGGCAACCCUGUGCAAAAGGCUCUGGCAACCAGAUCAUCUACUUUAGAAGAAAGGAGAAGAAAAAGAGCCCCCAGGAGAGGAAGUAGCCCCUAACCCGACUGACAAGCAAUCCGUUCGCAAAGACAGAAGGGCCUUCAGUGAAUUGGUUUCAAAGUGCUUGAUUUCUUAAAACCAGAACAAUUGAUCAUUAGAGAACUGAUUAAGCUACAGCCGCUGUUGAAUAAAAGGUAAAAAUAAACUCCUUCAUUUGAAUUCCAAAUUCAGGCUUGGAGGUGACCUAGCCAUGAGGCAAACUGGCUGUGGGUGGACAGGGCUGCACACGGAGCUGGUGGGUGGACGUCACCUGAAGUCUUCUCUCCUCCCAAAGUGUGGGUGCUGGGACCCCAAGGGCACAGUGUGAAUGUCCCCAGCACUUAACACCAGGGUAGCCCAGGUACAGAGGCUGCUGAGGGGCUGGUGCAGGUUCUCCAAGGGCCACUGCUAUGCCCAGAAUGAGCCACUAGUUCUGGAUCAGGAGGAGCAGGGGGUGAGGAGGGGGGGGGGUCCCAAAGGAGAGACUGGUUCGGGGGCAGCUGCAAUUUACCAACGGGUACAGAAGUACUUUGACAUCUUAGCCGCAGGCACAGCCCUACCAGUGGGUACCAGCUGUUGUGACCAGAGAUGGCAGCAGUCAGAGCCAGUCCUGGGACCCAAUUUUUCCCCUCAUCUGUUACCUGGGGGGGUCACCAGGGCCUAAUGAAGACUUUUGAGGUUUCUCAGCCACAAAAGGAUCACGGUGCCUCUCCAUAUGGAAUUCAGCAGAACUCUCACCUUUUAAAACGGUCUAGUAGAUACUGAGUAGACACAAAAGGACAUUUACAAAAUAUGUGUAAGUGUAAAGAACAAUACAACAAACCUCUGUGUACUCACCACCAGCUUAGAAGAAAGGUAACGUUCCCUUUGAAGGACCUUGGGUGACCCUUCUCAUUGCCCCAUGUCCCCUACCCCCACUUCAGAGGUGACCUUCUGGAAUUUUGCAUAUACCACUCCUGUGUAUUUCUUUAUAGUUUCACCACCUUUGCAUCCCCAAACAAUAUAUUUUUUAGUUUUGCCUGUUUUGAAUUUUAUACAAAUGGAAUCAUACUGUCUGUAUUAUUCUGUAACCUGCCUUUCCGCUGAAUGUGGUAUUCCCGAGACGAAGAGCUGUAAUCCAUUCUUCCCGCAAGCAUUCUGUUCUGUUGUGGGAUUAAACUACAACUGAUCUCUGCAUC
ensembl:lncRNA novel transcript